rnacentral:rRNA from 1 species
GACGAACGCUGGCGGCGUGCUUAACACAUGCCAGUCGAACGGAAAGGCCUCUUUCGGGGGGUACUCGCGUGGCGAACGGGUGAGUAACACGUGAGUAACCUGCCCUUGUCUUUGGGAUAACUUCCGUCAACUGGGGCUAAUACAUGCUAGAAGCUCCUGCUGCAUGGUGGGGGCUGGAGAGAUUCGGGGUUUGGGGGUGGACUGGCGGCUUAUCCGCUUGUUAGUGGGGUAGUGGGUUACCAAGGCGUUGACGGGGAGCCGGACAGAGGGAGUGACGGGCCACACUGGGACUGAGAGACGGCCCAGGUUGCGACGGGAGGCAGAAGUGGGGAAGAUUGCCCAAUGGGUGGAAGGCUGAUGCAGCAAGGCUGUGUGCGGGAUGACGGCCUUCGGGUUGGAAAACGCUUUCGCUCAUGACGAAGCUUUGUGUGACGGUAGUGGGUAAAGAAGCACCGGCUAACUACGUG